GACAGCGUUUGUAUUUUUUUUCUGUGGGGGGUGAAUUAUUUGAAGUCAACGAAAUAUAGUUUCUUUCAUUUUCCACUUCACAGUGAUCAUCAUCUUCUUCUUCUUCAUUGAUCUUUAGCUCUAAUGUCGUCUUCUUCUACAGAGAAUCGUAUCCUUUGGACAGAGAUCCAAGAAUCAAUAAGGAACAUAUUGAAAGCUAACUGUGGCCAUUUUCAUGCUCUUUCAAUCCUCUUCCUCUUGCCUAUCUUUUUCUCUCUCGUCGUUUAUCCUUCUUUCCACCUCGCUCUCUUUCAUCCUGAUUAUCAUUUCACCACUUUCACUCAAUUUCCUCAGUCCCAUCUUUUCCUUUCAAAAUUCGAAAUUAUUGUACCCAUAGUAUAUACUCUGUUUCUGGUCCUCCUUUUCCUCUGUGCUCUAGCCACAAUUACAUACAGCGCGCUUCAUGUAUCCUAUGGUAGACCUAUCAACCUCGUUUCCUCGAUUAAAUCUAUCAGAAAUUCCUUCUUCCCCCUUCUCUCCACCUUUAUCGUUUCGCAUACCAUUUUCAUUUCAAUCGCUCUCGUUUUCUCCCUAAUCUUUGUUUUUUUAGUCCAGGUUCUUCAAACUCUUGGAUUAAUUGAAUUUAAAUACGACUCGAAUCACUUUUUGUUUAUGGUUAUUCCUGUGUUGAUUAUGCUCGUGCCAGUUUUGAUAUGGUUGCAGGUUAAUUGGUCAUUAGCUUACGUGAUAGCAAUAGUUGAAUCCAAAUGGGGUUUCGAAACACUAAGGAGAAAUUCCUAUUUGGUAAAGGGGAAGAGAUCGGUAGCUUUGUCGAUGAUGCUCUUAUACGGGCUUUUGAUGGGAAUAAUGGUGGUUUUAGGUGCCAUGUAUUUAGUCAUUAUGGAUGCAGGGAAGGGUCAUCAAUGGAGAAGUUCAGGGGUAAUAUUACAGACUGCUCUGAAUUCAGUAACUGGCUAUCUGAUGAUGAGUCAAUUUCUUGUGGGGAAUGUUGUUUUGUAUCUGCGUUGCAACGACUUGAAUGGUGAAAAAUUGCCCUUGGAAAUCGAGCAUCUUCUUCUUCAUCAAUCUUUAGCUAAUGAUCAUCCACCUCCAAUGUCGUCUACUUCUACGAAAAAUCUUAGCCUAUGGACAGAGGUCGUAGAAUCAGCAAUGAGCAUAUUCAAAGCUAAUUCUGCCCAUUUCCAUGCCCUUUCAAUCCUCUUCCUCUUGCCUAUCUCUUUCUUUCUUGUCGUGUAUCCUUCUUUUCACCUUGCUAACUUUCAUCCGGACUAUGAUUUCAUCAGUUUCGUUCAACCCCAUCUUUUCCUUUCAAAUUUCGAAAUUAUUGUACCAACAUCGUACUCUCUGUUUUUGGUCCUCCUUUUCCUAUGCGCCGUAGCCACAACUACAUAUAGCACAGUUAAUGCAUCCUAUGGUAGACCUAUAAACCUCGUCUCUUCGAUUAAAUCUAUCAGAAAGUCCUUCUUUCCCCUUCUCUCCACCUUAGUCGUUUCGCAUACCAUUUUCAUUUCAAUCACUCUUGUUUUCACCCUAGUUUUGACUAUUUUAGUUCAAAUUCUUCAAGCUCUAGGACUAAUUGAAAUUAAAUACGAUUCGGA
rnacentral:lncRNA from 1 species